rnacentral:rRNA from 1 species
AGGGUUUGAUCAUGGCUCAGAACGUACGCUGGCGGCACGCCUAACACAUGCAAGUCGAACGAAGUAGCAAUACUUAGUGGCAGACGGGUGAGUAACAUGUAGGUAUCUGCCCUUUGGCCUGGAAUAACACGAGGAAACUUGUGCUAAUACCGGAUAAGUCUUUACGGAGAAAGCUUUAUGCACCAUUGGAUGAGCCUGCACUUGAUUAGUUUGUUGGUAGGGUAAUGGCCUACCAAGACUGUGAUCAAUAGCUGAUUUGAGAGGAUGAUCAGCCACAUUGGGACUGAGACACGGCCCAAACUCCUACGGGAGGCAGCAGUGGGGAAUCUUGCACAAUGGAGGAAACUCUGAUGCAGCGAUGCCGCGUGAGUGAAGAAGGCCCUUGGGUUGUAAAGCUCUUUCGUCGGGGAAGAAAAUGACUGUACCCGAAUAAGAAGGUCCGGCUAACUUCGUGCCAGCAGCCGCGGUAAUACGAAGGGACCUAGCGUAGUUCGGAAUUACUGGGCUUAAAGAGUUCGUAGGUGGUUGAAAAAGUUGGUGGUGAAAUCCCAGAGCUUAACUCUGGAACUGCCAUCAAAACUUUUCAGCUAGAGUAUGAUAGAGGAAAGCAGAAUUUCUAGUGUAGAGGUGAAAUUCGUAGAUAUUAGAAAGAAUACCCAAUUGCGAAGGCAGCUUUCUGGAUCAUUACUGACACUGAGGAACGAAAGCAUGGGUAGCGAAGAGGAUUAGAUACCCUCGUAGUCCAUGCCGUAAACGAUGUGUGUUAGACGUUGGAAAUUUAUUUUCAGUGUCGCAGCGAAAGCGAUAAACACACCGCCUGGGGAGUACGACCGCAAGGUUAAAACUCAAAUGAAUUGACGGGGACCCGCACAAGUAGUGGAGCAUGUGGUUUAAUUCGAAGAUACGCGCAGAACCUUACCAACACUUGACAUGUUCGUCGCGACUUUAAGAGAUUAAAGUUUUCGGUUCGGCCGGACGAAACACAGGUGCUGCAUGGCUGUCGUCAGCUCGUGUCGUGAGAUGUUGGGUUAAGUCCCGCAACGAGCGCAACCCUCACUUUUAGUUGCCAUCAUUAAGUUGGGCACUCUGAAAGAACUGCCAGUGAUAAGCUGGAGGAAGGUGGGGAUGACGUCAAGUCCUCAUGGCCCUUACGUGUUGGGCUACACACGUGCUACAAUGGUAUUUACAACAGGAAGCAAGACGGCGACGUUAAGCAAAUCCUUAAAAAAUACCUCAGUUCGGAUUGCACUCUGCAACUCGAGUGCAUGAAGCUGGAAUUACUAGUAAUCGUGGAUCAGCGUGCCACGGUGAAUGCGUUCCCGGGUCUUGUACACACCGCCCGUCACACCAUGGGAGUUGGUUCUACCUUAAGGCAAGGCUUAAAACCCUUGACCACGGUAUAGUCAGCGACUGGGGUGAAGUCGUAACAAGGUAACCGUA